rfam:Microgenomates (Roizmanbacteria) bacterium GW2011_GWA2_35_8 TR89_C0015, whole genome shotgun sequence.
GAGGCCAUAGUUCAAUGGAUAGAAUAGAUCUCUUCUAAAGAUCUGAUGACAGUUCGAUUCUGUCUGGCCUCA